CCUGAUGCACCUCGAGUUCCAGGUCUAGCGCUCCGUAGUUUCUACGCUCCAGGUCCGCUAUCUGGUGAAACUCGACUUUAGGGACAAGUGCUCCGUAGUUUCGGCGCUCCAGGUCCGCUACCUGGUGAAUCGCGACUGUCGGAGGACGAGGAAGACGAGGAGAACAAGGUGGACAAGGAUGACGAGGAUUUCUGCACGGUAUAACUCGAAGUGGUUACCGAUGGUGGUUGGAGGCGGUUGGCGGUAGUUGGCGGUGGUCGAGGGUGGACGUUGAGGAGGACAAGGAAGACGAGGAUUUGUGCUCGGUAUAACCGGAGGUGGUUGCCGAUGGUUGUGGUGGUUGAAGGUGGACGAGGAGGACGAGGA